UGAUGGAGAUGCAAAGGCACACUUAAUAAUGUGUAAUUCCGUCCUGGAGGGAAACUCUCCCCUUGUUUGUUUUGCUGUGGGCAGAUCAGCCCUGUUCGAUAUAAACUGUUCAACAUAACACAAAAAAUGCUAAAAGAAUCUAG